CUUCUUUCUGCUCCUGUCGCCAUGGCCCCGGCCUCGGCGCUCAAGCGACCCUCUCGCUCCGCCCAGACCCCUGGAUGCCCAGCUGCCGCACCUCCCGUGGCCCCACGCUGUGGCUACGUGUUGUCUGAAGACGCCUGGGGAAACCUUCAGGGCCUCUGUACUGGCCUGUCAUGUGGUCAACCAGGAUAAUAGAUGGUUUUCCCUCAGUGUGAACAUCGAGGUGUCUGGGUUCAUGGAAGCUGGUGAAGAAACCACCUACAACUAUACCAUGUCCUGUCCCUAUUUCACAUGGGCCUCGAGGAAGAUUCUCUGAAGGGAACUACAUGGAGAUCUCCUUGAUUGCACGGUCAACCCCGCUCCUGUCUGUCAGGCUCAGGAACCACUUACAAGCUAUGGCAGGUGAUGUUCCAGCAUCCCACAGGGAGGAUUAUGCUGGUGAGCCACAUGGCCAAGCAGGACUAUGGCUUCAACAGCUCUGGGGCCUGCAUGUUCCUGCAUUAGCCCUACUCCAGCAAUGAGGCUGAAGUUACCAGACUGUUCCUGUGAUGUCUUCUAGUACAUGAACAGGAAUGAAACCCACUAUGUCCUCCAUGUGAACUACAUGCUGAGCGUGGGUCCAGAUGGGAAACCAUUCUCCUACCCUGCAGAAAUGGUAUAUAGUUUCAAGGAUGUGGGUAAGUACACCAAGUGAGGUGCUGGUCCUGGACUCAUGGAUGGUCUUGGUACCCAACAAGUUACACUGGCUCUGUCCAAACAACAGCUGUGGAAGCCCCUCCCAUGGGAGGGGGGUCCCACUGGGGCUACACAGAAGUAACUCCUCACAAGUGGCUUGUCUGCAUCCUGGGAUUGGAAACCCAGUAUAGAAGCAGCUGUUGGCAGACUCAUGAAGUAAUACAGAGAAUGGGUGGCUGCUCAUACAAUCAGCAGUAAGACUUCACUUAAAUCAUGCCAGGAAUGACAUGAACAGGACUCAACGUACCCCAUACAGUCUUCCCUCCCAGGUGCCACCACCCCUGAAAUAUUAACCUUGGUAGACUUCUCCUGUCAAGGUCACAGUAAGGGUAGCCAGUGGUAUCAAGACCUUGGUAUAAAUCAGACAUGGCCUUCUUCCCAGCAAGGUCAUUAGGUACCCAAUGUAGAGAUAGCAGGGAAAGGAUAUAAAAACAGGAAAGUUCCAGGUGAGUCAUCUUUUGCCCCUUGACUAGGCCUGCCUAUAGGUUUGACAGCUCCAGGAAGUAAGAAAACAGGUAUAUUGUCUUCCUUCCUAUAGCUCUGCUAGGUGUCAUCCUCUUAAGGUCACUAGGAUUCUAGUGUUGAAGGCUUGCUGCCACACAGAUGGCACUGUUCUAUCCUCAAAGCAUUUUCAGGGUGCCAUCUAAUGGGUCUGAAUCCUGGUUCCAUUGCAAACUUUAAGCAAGGAACUCAGCAUUAUCCAAUCCCCAUUUUCUCCAACUACUGGCCCCCUCUAAGGAGGCUGAAGAGUGAAAGCAUGUUGAACACCAAGAUGCUCUCCAAAGAUGGAGUCCUUCUCUUCUGAGCCCCACAGCUCUGCAAGAUGGGUAAAACUCAAGGUGGCAUUAGGCUCUGAGAGGAGCUCCAUCACACAGCUGGCAUAGUAUGGAGCUGGACCAGAGCCCAAAUCCCCUAUCUCCCCACUGUCCUAACCAAAAGCUUACACUUCAGAACCCAAGGCCGUGAACACAGACCUCACACAGCUGUAACCUGAGAAACUGCCAUUGCUGAUCUAGUGCCAGAACCACUUCCCCAUCCCUGGCUUUCCUGCUGACUUCCCACGAGAUAAGACUUUUCUUUAAAAAGGGGGCCUUCUCAGCCACACGCAGUGGAUCACACUGUAAUCUCAGCACUUUGGGAGGCCGAGGCGGGUGGAUCACUUGAGGCCAGGAGUUCGAGAUCAGCCUGGCCAACAUGGUGAAACCCCAUCUCUACUAAAAAUACCAAAAAAAAAAAAAAAAAAAAAAAAAAAAGCAGGGCAUGGUGGCAUGUACCUGUAAUCACAGCUACCCAGGAGGCACAAGAAUUGCUUGAACCCAAGAUGCAGAGGUUGCAGUGAGCCUGUUUGUACCCCUGCACUCCAGCCUGGGUGACACAGUGAAACCCUGUCUCAAAAAAAAAAAAAGGAGCCUUUGGCCAGGCACAGUGGCUCACACCUGUAAUCCCAGCACUUUGGGAGGCUGAGGCGGGUGGAUCACCUGAGGUCAGGAGUUUGAAACCAGCCUGGCCAAUAUGGUGAAACCCUGUCUCUACUAAAAAUACAAAAAUUAGACAGGCUUGGUGGCAUGCGUCUGAAGUCCCAGCUAUUCAGGAGGCUGAGGCGGGAGAGCCUCUUGAACCCUGGAGGUGGAGGUUGCAGUGAGCCGAGAUCACGCAAUUGCACUCCAGCCUGGGCAAUAAGAGUGAAACUGUCUCAAAAAAAAAAAAGAAAAGAAAAGCCUUCUUGGGCUGACCAAGGUGGAUCAUGCCUAUAGUCCCAGCACUUUGGGAGGCCUGGGUGGAAGGAUUGCUUGAGUUCAGAGGUUCAAGACCAGCCUGGGCAACAUAAUGGGACCCCGUCUCUACAAAAAAUUUAAAAAUUACCAUGGCAUGCUGAUACAUGCCUGUAGUCCCAUCUACUCGUGAGGCUGAGGCGGGAGGAUCACUUGAGCCCAGUAGAUGGAGGCUGCAGGUAGCCAUGAUUGUGCCACUGCACUCCAGCCUGGGCAAGAGUGAGACGCUGAAUCAAAAAUAAAAGGCAUCUCACUUAAGGGCCUUCACACUAGGGCUCCAGUGGAAAAGUAAAAGGGCCAAAGGGGAGUGAUGAGAAAUGGAUGCUUGGGAGAGAAUAGGCCUCCAACAAGAUUCUUCAGUCUUGGUAUGCCAAGGCUGGACAAUAAGGAGAAUCGGACCCCAACCUGAGUCCCAUUUACCCAUUGUGUACUUUUCACAGAAAUUCCCUAGGCCAUUGGCACCUGUGACAGUGAGAACCUAUACUUGGCCAUCCCAGUAACUGACCCGCUCUCCUGUUGGGAGCUCUACAUGGGACACUGGCACCUGAGCCGUAGGCCAGGACCCCUUGACAUAGUCCUCAUGACAGAUAACUCCACCCAUCUGCUAUUGGCAGUGCAACUCUUUUCUCCAGGGGCGCUGUAUGAGGGGGUCCCCCGAGGGCUUAAGCUGGUUGACGGGCUAAGGAGGGUGGAGAGAAGUUGUGCAGCCACUGUCCUGGGCCAUCAGUCACAGCGGUGUGUCACUUCAGACACAAGGAAGUGCCUGGAUGGUCUUGGUGCCCAACAAGUUGCAUUGGCUCUGUCCAAACAGCGGCUGUGGAAGCCCCUCCCAGGCCAGGGAUGCGGGCUUGAGCAAUCCCUGUCCAGUGUUCUCGGGGAGCAGAAUGUAUGGUAUCUAAUACAGUCUACAACAGCAUUUGUGAGGAAUGGCCUGUGUUUGGGUGCAUGUCAUGCCAUUAAAAUCCCUAGAACUAGAAAGAAGUGGCUUCCAGAUCCCAGGCCCCCUGGGCGACUCUCAGCAUCCUGGGCCCCACAGGCCUCAGCUGCCAGAUCUGCCCCAAUGGCCAGGACUGCGUGGCAUCUGUUUCUGAUGAAACUGAACCCAGCUGUGGGGUGGGUCCCAGGAUCUCUCCCUCCAGAGGAUUUGCGCCCAGCUUGAGGUGGCCCCAAAGAAAACUGACAUGCUAGAGACUCCAGAAACCUUCUCCAUGGAUUUACCCCAUUGGGAGAGAAAAGGCCUCCAACAAGACUCUUCAGUCUUGCUAUGUCAAGGCUGGACAAUAAGGAGAAUCGGACCCCAACCUGAGUCCCAUUUACCCAUCCUGUACUUUUCACAGGACUUCCCCAGGCCAUUGGCACCUGUGACAGUGAGAACCUAUACUUGGCCACCCCAGUAACUGACCUGCUCUCCUGUUGGAGCUCUACAUGGGACACCAGCUCCCAUGCAUUUAUCCCUUUUCAGACCUCACUGGUGAGAAGCUGGGCUUCUGGGUCCCCAUGCUGCUUCAUCCCACCUCCCAACCCUGUCUUCAGGCCCACUGCUGAUCCCAGUCUAGAACCACAGCACCGCCCCCAUCCUGCAUGAAGAAGGCCUUGUGCAUCUGCCUUGGUGAGAUCUUUCCAGGCUGACUGGUCUGUACUCCCUGGGGAGAUGAUCGAGACCAGCUCACACUGCUGUGUGUCACAUCCAUACCUUCUAUGGGAAAACUAACCCCCCUCGCCUCCUAUGUGAAGUCUCAGGCUUCACAGCCCAUUUCAAAUGCUGUUUCUCCUAUAACCACAUAGCCUGCCAACCACUGGAUCUCCUUUCUGGUUCCUCCCUCUCCCCCCAACUUUUUCCUUUUGAACUCUCAUAAUCAGAGCCAUAACCAUUUUCUGCCUUGCACUAGUUACUUGUCCUUGACUGUCUUUAUUUUCCCUUCUGAGCUGACUUUCUUGAAGGCAGGGCCCCCAACCUGAUCACCAUGCCUCAGAUAGUAUCCAGGUUUUGCCUUCAGCCCCUCAAAUAAUACAUAUAAAAAUGAACAAAUUCCAAUAUUUAUCCACAACCUACUUGAUGGCCUAAAAAUGCAUUUUAAAUGGGUGUGUCUGAGGUAACUUGUGAAAAGCCCUGGGGUCAGGAGCCAAGUCCUACCUCAAGGAGCAGCAUAAAGGCUUAGCCCAGCCUCGUCCAAGGACUGCCAGGUAAAAUAGAGAACAGACUUUGAUCAAAAUAUGGUUGGAAACAGGAUGGUUGUGAGAACUAUGGUUGUGUUCCUAGUGUGUUUCCCUAGUGGGACUGUGGCCAUCUCUUCCAUGAUGGCCACAGACCCUUCCAUUGACAUGUGCAAGGCCACACUGAAGGAUUGCACCUGCAAGCCAACAGAGUCUAGCAGCAACCAAACCUUCUUCUGACUUGACGUCACCAGCCGUGGUACCUCAGUGAGGGUGAGUAAGGCAAAAGGGCCACCUGCUCCUGCCAGGCCUUAGCAUACCAUCUAAGCUUUUUCUUCUCAGUCCUGUGGUAUUGUUCCAUUUUCACACUGCUGAUAAAGACAUACCUGAGACUGGGCAAUUUACAAAAGAAAAAGGGUUAAUGGACUGACAGUUCCACAUGGCUGGGGAGGCCUCAUGAUCAUGUCAGAAGGUGAAAGGCAUGUCUCACAUGGCAGCAGAUGAGAAGAGAAGACUUGUGCAGGGAAACUCCCCUUUAAAAAACCAUCAGAUCUCAUGAGACUUAUUCACUAUCACAAGAAAAGCACAGGAAAGACCUGCCCCCAUGAUUCAAUUACCUCCCACUGGGUUCCUUCUACAACAUGUGGGAAUUGUGAGAGCUACAAUUCAAGAUGACAUUUGGGUGGAGACACAGCCAAACCGUAUCACCCAUGUUCUCCAUAUGCUCUAAAAUCUUGGGUUAUGUAGUUUGAAGGUGACUAUAUUAUAUAUGAAAAGGGAAUCAUGUAUGAGAAGGAACCCUUGCUAUGAAGGGCUGGCCCACAAUUACAAGAUAUCCAGACUACAGGUGAGAUGGCCACUGUAUGAAUGGAAGUCAGCUGUGCCCCUGAGCUUCAUCUCACUGUUGUCCCCACCCCUGUCCUCAGGAAAUUCCAGCUGACUAGGGAAGAGAAUGCCAGUGUAUAGUUUGCAGCAGGAGGAACUCAAAACAUCAGUGACAGUGCCCCAAAAUGCUUCAGUUUCCAUGUUCUCUUUUUCAUUUUUUAGGUCCUAUUUUACUUCCUUACCUAAUACUUAUUAUAUUGGAGGUAUGAUGUAAAUUGGAGUAAUACUGACAGACCUUCUUCUUUGAUAGACUAAGCAGUGUUGCUAGAAACAAAUCAUUGCAUAACUAAAUCAUGAUCCACCAUGCACAUAGCCCACCAACCAAUGGAGAAGACCAGCAGAACAGAUAGUAGGCUAUCUCUUCCAGCCUCAAGCCCCAAUGCUGUCAUUCCUAAGUUGAGACGUUGAAGUCUCUUUGCCUCCCUGGUACAGAGUCUGUUUGCCUUGUCUUGUCCAUGAACCAGAGUUCCUUCAAGUCCUUUCUUGCUCUGCAGUUCUACAAACCAGUGAGCCUGCUCUUGCCUCCAUGCUUGUCCUAGGCUGAUGCUGCUCUGCUACUACUCAGUUAAAGAAACAUUGGCCCAAGAGGACAGGCACAAGGACAGGUGGAAGAAGAAAGCUGUCCUGCCACCAGGAGAUGGCAUGGUGGUAUGGCAGUCCCAGGGCCUCAGAGAGAGCAGACAGACACUGGAGAUCCAGGCAAGAGUAGCUCAAGGUAAGGGUGUUCUGGAGUAUACUUUGGGGGACAAAGGGCAGAAGAAGAAAGUUGUCCAUGAGUUCACCAAGCCCUUCCUCUCUUAAGAUGAGUCGUUCAUUGAGUUUCACCAUGGGGAGAUGGCCAUUGUGAAUCAGCCAUAGUCAACACUCUUUGAGGUAGAACUGAUGAGCUUUGCAGAUGCCUCAGCAGAAUUACUCCUGGACAAGUGUUGGGUGUCAGAGUCACCAGAAUUUGAUGGCAGCCCCCAGUGGAACAUAAUAAAUAGCCCGCCCCAGUCCUACUCAUACUUCCUCAUGUAUAAGAAAGGGUCAGCCAGUCCUCACCAGUCCUCAGAUAACUACUGGAAUGGACACAAGGUUUCUCCAGAGUGCCUCACUCCUUGUUUGUCUCCAAAUUCUUCCUGACAGCUGCAAAAAAGAGAAUAACCUGCUAGAGGUAGACUUUUACCCUGUCUCCCAGGGUGAGAAGGUCCAAUACCCCUCAUUGGUCAAGAAGCUGGUGAAGUUUGUGGCACCCAGAUUCAAAGAGGUGUAUCUGUACCACCUGACCCAAUCCUGCCUACACUUGGACCCUGACGGGCAUUGUGGUGGCCAGUACUAUCCAGAGGAGAGAGAAGGAGUGACUCCAGGACUUAUAUGCCCACAAGCCAAAAGAAGAUCAAGAUCUGAGUGGGAACUGUGGAAAGCAUGUCAUGCGAGCCCCUGCCGCCCUUGAAACUCUGCGUUCCUCCUCCUCAAAGAACAGUGCCUGAAGGUCCUGGCUGUGGCCCUGGCUGGCCAUCUUGCUUCCUGGUCACGGUGGUGGCCACUGUGCUGGUCCUGUCCAAGAUGACCUGUACAUCAUUCCAUGAAUGACACGUGACAACAGCUUCCCAGUGUAAUAAGCACAUUUAACCCAGCACUUGUCAGCCCCACUGUUCUGUUGGAAGUGUUCUAUCUCACUGAUCUUGCCUCUCCUAAAGCAAGGGACAACUCCUGGCACUCCGCUGCAGAGGCCCUUGAAGCCUGUUGGAAUUUUAGUGAAAUGAGAUGCCUGGCUUAAGCCAUGUUGCCUGGCUUCUCAAGUACCAGCGGACAUAUUACUAGCAAGGAAGAAGGCUAGCAGCAAGAAUGGUUAUUGCAUCCUAGAGGCAUUUAGUGGAGGAGAAAACUGCCCUGGUACCGCCAUAGCCCUAAGUGCUGCCCAGAGUUCUGAGCUCUCGAUGAGCACUUGGAACACGUCUGCCUGCAGCCUCCCUACACUUUUUUAUGACUUGUCCUACUUGUCAAGCCCAGCUUGUCCCACUUCUCCACAUGAGUCUUCCAGUGACAUCUUUGUGACCAUCUCCACCCCCUGGGUAAAUGCUCCACGCUGGGAGUCCACAAAACACAGUCUGACUUAGAGAUUCUCUGGCAUGACUCUCUUCCCCACUGUGUACACUGACUGCCUUAGAUGUAGGCCUCUUGUUUGGGGCCCUUCCUGGCCAGACCCUGAAGCAGCCUCUGAGGAGGGUGGUAAGAAUGGUUCCCUAGAGCCCAGUUACAGAGUCUGCCUCCUUUCCAGAUCAUGCUGUAAUGGACUGAGAUCUCAACUCAGCCCACACUCUUUCCUGGCCUACAUAGCCGUCUCAGAAGGGCAAUGUUUCUCGCUGUUAAAGCGGGUGGUCCCUCUUGCUAACCUAGCUGAGCAUCAGGUACUGGUUAGCUGUAAGGGCUGGGAAGUGGGGGGUGUACCCAUUGGCCUUGGUGAUGAAGACAGCCAGGUAUCCAAGUCCCAGCCGGGACUCCUGCUGGGCCAUAAAGGCUUCAAUAUGCUGGCUUCUCCCCAUUGAGGACCUCAGGCCCCAGUUCAUUAUCAGGAUUUUAGAAAUACCAAGAACAUCAAAAGAACAGAAAAGAGGCCCUUAAGGGACUCCUAAUAAGAUAGAAUUUGCAUGUCCUCAUUGGACUAGAACCUGAACUGCUUUAAAAAGCAAAAGGCCCUUGGUACAAUCUGAUGGAUGUGACUGUACAGAGAAGAGGAAACACCUCUGAGGGGAGUGAGAGGCCUUGGUAAGGAAGUUGCAAUCUGGAGCCACCUGGGCAGGUCAGAGCUCUAUAAGCAGGAGAAGCCAAGGGCAUAACACACAGUAGUGCAGGUGUCAGCCAGGAAUCAAGGCUAUGACAGCUGGAGUCCCGGGCCAAGAACUACAGGGGGAAGGAGGAGAAAUGCUUGUUCCCCCAACUCCUAUCUCCUGCCAUGGGGGUGGACUUCUACUAGCUAUGACAUUCCUACCAUCUCUCUGCCUCUUCCCUCUCUCUUUUCUCUCUGCCCCACCCUGGGACACGGUGACUUCCCUGAUGCUAGGGGGAGGGGAUGGUGUGGGUUAAAAAAAAAAAAACAAGCUGCAUAGCUCAGCCCCUUCCUCUCUCCCCUCACUCUCCUGGGGGUGCCUGCUUUCAGAGUCUGUGCAGCUCUUGUCUCCUUCUUACCAUAACCCUACCUGGGCGGCAGCAGCCGCCGCCCACACCCUCCCCUACCCCCAUGGCACUGCCUGCCACAUCCAGGACCAUUUCCGAAUUCUGAGGCUCUGUUGUCGGAGUGUCCCCUCUAAGCUGCAUCCUGCAACCCAGUCCUAUUCCCAGAGAAGCCCAACAUCCCCUCUGGAUCUGCCUGUCUGCAUUACCGUUUGGUUCAAAACCCAGUGCUGGUUACUGGGCCUCUCAGGACACCAGGGAGGCUGGGCUGGGGAGGACUGGUGGGCGAGCUGUCCCCUCCACAUUCUGCCAAUGCCUGGGACGUGAAACUCAUUCCUGUUUCCAUGAGACUCGUAUCCUUAAUGUCCCUUUUGACUUCAGCUAAUUCUGAGUAAGUUUUUGACCCUCGCACCUAAAUUUGGCCCAAGGCAGAAACAGCGGGGAUUGGCUUCUCUGACGGCUGAGUCACUUGUCUUCCUGUCUUCUCCCUCAUAUUCCACUUCUUGUGGGCGUGAAUUAAAGUAGAACCAGGCAGGCGACACUCUCCUGUUGGUGACCAGCGUUCCACAGUAAAAUGGGGUGUGACAGCAGCUGGCAGAGCAGCAGCCUGCCCGGGGCUGUGGGCCACAUCCCCCCUCCACCCCAACCAAGCAGCCUGCCCUGCCCUGGUGCCAGGCGCCAAUCGGCUGAGCAAAAUAGGCUGAACUCAGGCCCUGCGAGGCCAGGACGGCGCCUAUCAAGAACUCCUGUUCCCUCCAGGGCAAGAAGAGGGAGGAGCGAGGCUUGCCCUGAGCGGAGGGGCUUCAAAACUGAGCCCUGGGCAAAAUGGGGCAAGUUGGUCACCCUAGAGGGAGCUUAGGUUUAAGGAAAAGAAUCUGGGACCUUCUAGCUUUGACUCCAGUCUAACAUAACUCUCUGAUUGUCCCUUUAGUAAAAUAGAAAUAAUGUCAGUCUUGAAAGAAUGUCAUGAGGCUUUCAUGAGGACACAUGGAAAUGGCAGACAUUUGUCUUGCUGGAAGGUUCUCCCGUUUCCCCGCCCCUAUUCCAGGUAGGUUGCUGUCCUCAGUACCUGAGGUUUUAUGUGGAAUCACCAUUCUCCUUCCCAUGAUUGUAAGUCAGAUUAUAAGCAGCAUUUGAGUAGAUGGAAAUGUGAUUAGGUCUAUGUCCCUCAUCCCAACAUUCUUUAUGCCAGCUUUCAUUCCCACAGCUCCAGCUGGAGACAUGCACCCACAACUUAGCAGUGCCUUGGGGUGUCCUGUCUACUGCAGGACGUCUUCAGUGCCCAUAACGUUCUUCUCCAAAUUAGGUUUCUGAGCCUUUGCAUAUUACAUCACAGGGCUGGGCCCAUGGGACUGCAAUCCGGGAGGAUGGUCCUAGGCACAAAAUUGAAUCUUGAGAUAGGUCUAAGGUUUGCCAUCAGGAUUAAUGAAAAUAAGUGUACACCGGGGCAUGCUUCACUAACUGGAAGUCACUAUUAUUAAACUGAGAACCGGAAGGGCUAGAUCUGGUCAUAAUUCUGUUAACCAACUGCAUAACCUUUAAGCCGGAACCUUUACCUGUAAAAUAAAGGAGUAGAUGAUUUCUCCAGUUCCUUCCCGCUCAAGUGUCCUAUGACUGAUUAAAAUUAUGUGUCCAUUAAGCAGCUCAAAAGGAAUUAUGUCUGGCUAUCUGAAAGCUCACAGCCAGCCAAGGAGGAAGUGCACUAAAGGCGAGGCCCGGCUGCUCCCCAGCCCAGCACUGCUCGCUGCUGUGUUAAUUGACAAUGAUGGAACAAAGCACAUUUUAUGAGAGUUCAUGAGUAGGAAGUCCAAGGAGCCUAUACAUUAGUCACGUCUGAAAAUCUUCCUUGCUGGUCCUGCAAGCCAGAGGAGCUGGCCACUGCCACUUACCCAGAUGAAGGACAUGUCGAUCCAGAAAAGGGAACAGUUAGCCAACAUUGCUUUAUUUGCUCAAUCGUAAUAACUUUUUCCAGGGAGAAAACCCACGUAAAACUAUUGGAGACAGAAUUCUGGAUCAAGUCAGGCCACAACAUAAAAUUACAUGGUAACAAUGGUCUCCAAUUUGAGAGAAGCAGCAUAAUGCACCCCAACCUCCCACAAAAACCUCAAACCCUUGACUCGGGAAAACAAGAAGGUCAUCUUCCAUCGGCCCUUUCCUCCACUGUCCUUCUCCCCAGACUCCCUUGUGCUUGUAUAGGGCAGGGAGGGGUAAGGAAAACAGAUCAGUUGCCCUGGGACGUCAAUCACCCUGUUGAAACUGGUCUGAGUGCCAGACAGACAACCAACAUGGCUCCUGCCUUCAGGGUCCACAUCUUGAAGAGGGAGAGGAACACAGGAAAUGGAAAAGCACCCUGGAAUUAGAUGCUGGGCCAGAUGAACUGGAAGUAGUUCUUAAACUUGAGUGUGCCUCAGACUCCCCAGGGGCCUUGUUAAAACACAGAUGGCUAGACCCUACCCCCAGGGAGCUAGAUUCACUUGGCUUGGGGUAGGGCUGAUAUUUUGCAUUUCUAACAUGGUCCUAGGUGCUGCUGGUCCAUAGACCAUGUGCUGAGAACCAGUACUACAGACAGUGCUCCCCAUACUUUAGUGUGCGUAUGAACCGCCUGGGGGCCUGGGUAAAGUGUGAGCUCUGAUUCAGCAGGUCUGGUACAGGGCUAGGGAUCUGCAUUUCUAACAAGCUCCCAGGUGAUGCCAAUGCUGCCGGUCUGUGGUCCCCAUUCAGUAGCAAGGGUGCUCCAUCUAGACCAGAGUGUGAUGGAAGUUAGAGAAUGAGAUGAGUUUGGGUUGAUAUUGGCAGGGAAGGUUUAAUGGUAGUUACUGGGACUUGGGCUGGUCCCAGAAGAAUGAGCAGGAUUUAAAUAAAUGAAAAGGCUGUAUUCUGGGAGAGAAAUUUGAACACAGACAGGGCGGUGGGAUUGAGAAUAGCAAGGGUAGAGGAGUGGGCACUGGCCAUUGUCACAGAUGAGUGACACACCGAGGCUUGGGGCCCUGCAUGCAGGCGCCUUGCUCCAUCUGCCUCCACACCACCCUCCCCAAGCAAGAAGCUGGUGCAGUUCCAGUAAGUCUACUGGCAGCCAGUCUUCAUAAUGGAAAUAAUUAUUGUUCUGUGAGUCCCAGACUGACAGCUCCCAAUCCUGCCUGCUCAGCCAACUGGGUUAUUUUUUCACCUGGCUUGUUAGCAAUGGUUUGUUGUUUGGCAGCAUGAAGUGACUCCCACUUUUCCUUUCCAAUCUCAAGUCAGAGAAACCUCAGUUCUCCGAGAGUUGAAUGUCUCGAAGCCACACGGGGGUGGUUAUGGAUUUCUCAGCAGGCAGCCAGGGCAACCAGCAUGUUCUAUAUGGUGCUCAGUCAUGGGUUCCUCUCCUGAUCCAGUGAGGGUCAUGAUCAGAUAAAGGAGUAAUAGCCCCUUCUUUCCCACACCCACCCCCCAACCUUGGAAGUCUUCCGUUUUCAGGUUUGUUCUAACAAAAGGCUCACCUUUUCUUCAAUAGAGCUGCAUGUGUAGGUGCAGAAACAUGCGAGCUCAUGUGCAAAAGGCCUGUCAUUUGAAAAUGAAACUACUAUUUAUUGGGUUUCCCAGCAGUGCUGUAACGAGGCACUACAAACUGAGUGGCUUAUAACAACAGAAAUUUAUUUUCUCACAGUCCUGGAGACUGGGGAGUCCAAAAUCAAGGUGUUGGCAAGGGCAUGCUCCCUCUGAAGCCUCUAGGGCAUGGACCUCACCCCUGGGGAGCUGGAAACCCUUCCUUGCUUUUUCCAGUUUCGGGUAUCCCUGGGUGUUCCUUGGCUUGUGGCAGAACCACUCCAGUCUCCACCUCUGUCUUCACAAGCCGUUCUCCCCAGUGUCUGUGUCCAAAUUUCCUUUUCCUUGUAAGGACAUCAGUCACACAAGGUAUCUGUAAGGACCCACCCUACUCCACCUGCAUCUUCUUAACUAAUUAGAUCUGUCAUAACUUUAUUCCCAAAUAAGGUCACAUUCUGAGGUACUGGUAGUUAAAACUCCAACAUAUCUUUUUGGGGGGCCCAAUUCAACUCCUAACAGGUAACUUUAUAGUUUAUAACAUUAUAUUACCUGCUGAAUUUGACCUUGUCUUUUAGAGGGGCUUUUUCCUCUAAACUAGAAUAGUGACCUGUUUUAAAUAAAAUCGAUGCUGAACUAUAAAUCAGGCCCUAUUCUCAAGGUCAGCUGAGAAGGGCUCAAACACUUAUCCACCCCAUACCUAUUAGCCAGUGAUGAAUCUGUAAGCUCUAAAUAGCAAGUUACUGAGCAGAUUAUGAUAAUGAAUUCACUUAUCCAUUCAACACAUGUAAGGCCCUUCUGCAUGCCAGGCCGUGGUGCUGAGGACACAACAGUAAACAAAAGAGACAAAAGUCCCUGCCCUCUCAGAGCUUGCCUUCCAGUGUGGGAAAGACAAAAUAAAUAAGAACAUGGUUUGGGUAAACAGAAAAAAGAUGAGUAUGAUGAGGAUUUGCUAUUUUAAAGAGAGCGGUCAGAGAAGGGCCAGGAUAAGGCCAUGGGGUAAGGCAGGGAGAAAACAGCACAUGUAAGUUCCUCAACGUGAGUCUUUGUGAAGACUCUGCUUCUCACUGAGAGAAGCCAUGGCACACUCCCAAACCUUCACUCUGGUGGCUGUGUUGAAACUGACUUUGGAGGUAAAACUGACAAAGCAGGAUACUUGCAAUACAGAGGGGCUGAUGUCUUGGCUUUGGGUGGUAGCGGAUGAGAUGAAAAUUGCUGGAAUCGGGAUCUGUUUCAAGGUAGGAACCCACAGUGUUUGCCGCUGGGGAGCACUGGGACCAAGUCUGGCAUGAGAGGCGGGACAGUACAGCUGCCAUUAGCUGUGCUGGGGGAGGACCAGGAACUCCGUUUGGGAUGCUUUAAGUUUGCACAACAUCAACUCUGUGAUCUUAAAAAGAGCUUUCCAAUAAAGUGGAAAUAGGUUCAAAUAACGUGGUGCCAAAAGAAUACAUUCAAAGGUAUUCUUGGUACACAGGAGUCAAAAUUGCCUAGAGGGAAAAGAGGCACUCAGGUGGUGAACACAACUAAUAGUAAUUUUUUCAAGAGGUGACUAGCAGCCAUAGGAAAGGGAGCCUUUUAACCCUUUGUUUCUAGUUAUUCUGGCUAAAAAUGGUUAGCUGUAGAGAAAAAUAUGAAAGGCGGGGGGUCUUUUUAUUUAUACCUCCUGUACUGUUUUAAUUUUUAUUACCAUAGCCAUGUAUUAAUUGUAUAUCAAGAAAUUGGCAAGCACUUUUCAUGCGGCUUUAAAAAUUAUGUGUCAAAGCAGAAUAAGGUAGACUUCUAAGUUCUUACACAAAAGAAUGUUCAAAAUAAUAAGUGAUUUAAGUUACCAAAUAAUAUGUAUACCAUAAUUCUGCGCAUGUAUCUGCAUACCUGUGCCCAUGUAUUUGUACAAAGAAAAAGGCCUAGAAGGAUAGACAGGAACUGCUUUUUACCUUAUAUUCUGCAGGUUUGCCACUUUUAAAAGGAGUACUUUUUGCAUGUGUUUAAAUUGAAUGUGAUGGCCUUCCCUCUACUUCGCUUCAGCCAGAGCUCAAGCCUCCACACACUCCAAACAAGAAUUGUUGAAUAGUUUAAAGAAAUAGGCGGGCUGGGCACGGUAGCUCACGCCUGUAAUCCCAGCACUUUGGAAGGACGAGGCAGGCAGAUCAUGAGGUCAGGAGUUUGAGACCAGCCUGACCAACGUGGUGAAACCCGGUAUCUACUAAAAAUACAAAAAUGAGUUGGGCUUGGUGGCACAUGCCUGUAAUCCCAGCUACUCAGGAGGCUGAGGCAGGAGAAUCCCUUGAAACCCAGGAGGUGGAGGUUGCAGUGAGCUGAGAUCACGCCACUGCACUCUAGCCUGGGCAACAGAGCGAGACUCUGUCUCAAAAAAAAAAAAUAAAUAAGCAACAGAAAAAAAAACUGAAGCUUUUCAGUCCCCCUUGGCUCUUAUUCCUGCUAGAAAUAAUGUGACUAUGUAAUAAUAAAUUCUACUUAAGGGUUGUAUCAGUCUGUUUUCACACUGCUAUAAGGAACUGCCCCAGUCUGGGUAAUUUAUAAAGGAAACAGGUUUAAUUGACUCACAGUUCAGCAUGGGUGGGAAGGCCACAGGAAACUUGCAAUCACGGCAAAAGGGGAAGCAAGGCACCUUCCUCACAAGGCAGUAGGAAGAAUGACAGAAGGAGGAACUUGCCAAACCCUUAAAAACCAUCAGAUCUCGUGAGAAUUCACUCACUAUCACGAGAACAGCAUCGGGGAAACAGCUCCAUGAUUCAAUUACCUCCACCUGGUCUCUCCCUUGACAUGUGGGGAUUAUGGGGAUUACAAUUCAAGAUGAGAUUUUGGGUGGGGACACAGCCAAACCAUACCAAGGGUUUUUUGUUGUUUCUUCAGUAGUAGGGCCAAAAUGUUUUUUGAAGUUAAGCACGAUUCUUAUAAGAAUAUAGAAUGAAAAUGUGAAAAAUGUUUAACUCAUUAAUAGAGAACCGCCAGAGUGGUAAAAGAGCAUUAGAAUAACUGAGUACUUAUGGUCCAUGAAGAAAGAAUUUGGGAAUAAAGUUGCUAGGUUAAAUACAAAACUGGUUAACGUUCUUCAGGGCAAUACAGCCAAAACUUUUGGGGUUAUCUUUUCUACCAGAGUUCAUUUGCAUCUCCUCUGGACAAAAAUCUGCAAGUUACAUGCAACCUCCCAGAGUCUGGGCCCUAAUCAAGAGUAAAUAGAAAAUCAAAGAAAGGCACACACAUGGCUCCCCAAAAGAAUUAAACAGUCGUUGAGUGGGUCUGCUGGUAUGAUAUUGAAAUGCCAUGCAAAUCCUUUUGCCUUAUUUCUACGUAUUGGAUGCUUUUUUUGACAUAAGAUAAAAAUUUACAUAUUGGCAGCUGUAGCUAUCUAGUUUCCAAAUGGAGUUUGCUCUUAAAAUUAAUCUGCUUUUCACCAUCUUUUGUGUCUGUUUUUAAUAAGAAAAAUGACCACCAAGCAAUGUGGGCAUUGCAAUAACAUUCCAUUAUUUAAAAACAUACUUUAAUAUUAUUCUGAUACUCACUUUGCUGGGUACUAAAACAUUUUAUGAGCAAUUUAAAUUUUUUAUCAGGACCAAAAAAAAAAAAAAAAGUCCACAUAUCUGCUGUGAGUUGAUGCCAACAGCAAAAACAUUGAUACUCAUUGCAGUUUCAAAUAUUUAUAUGGAUUUUGGACACAACCUUGCACAAGUUACUCAAUUUCUUAGCUUCAUCCUCUAUGCAGAAUAAGACCUUCACUAAACUGCUAUAUUUAUGAUUUUGUGAUGACACAUAUAAACCUGGGAUUACACUGUUGUGUUCCUAUUUUACUUUUAUAUCCACAUUCAUAAUUUCAGUUUCGGGGCUUCCUUACAGGUUGCUUGUUUUAUAAUUUGUCUUGCUACAUGACGUGUUCUUUUACCUUCUUGUGAUUUUAAAAAGGAUAAACUAUGUGUUUUAAUUGUAUCAAUUGCUUUGUUUUUUCAAAAACAGAAAUUAGACUAUACUCAUCCUUCUUUCCUUUCUGUAGAGUGAAAUGGUGUCAUUUGAAGUCCCUUAACAUUAGAUUUGAAAUUUAACAAAUCUCACUCUCCCUCUUUUACCAACUGCCAUUUUAAAUUAUGGGCAUUCUGUUCUCACAAUUUACUGUCACAUUUUUUAGAAACACAGAAAACACCAAAAUGUGAAUUUAUAUAGAAAUUGUUAAAAUUACACACCUAGCGUAAAUAGCAAAUAUUCAGUCAACUUUUCACUAUGCUCUUGAAAAGCUAUUACACAUUUGUCAACAAUUUGUUUAGCGUAGCAAUAUGUUAACCUAAACACACUAAAUUCAGCAUCCAUUUCAGGCAGAGAUGAGCCGUCUGAUUUACUCAACACAUUUCUAGUUAGAGAGCAUCACAUGAGACAAAGUGGAAUCGUGCCACAUAUUUGAAUGAAGCCAGAAGCAGCACUUUUUAGGACUCUUAGAUCUGUUUUGUGCAUGAGCUGUUGUUUUUGAAACACUCUCAUGUUUAGUCAUUAAUUUGCAUAAAAUUUUUUCUGUGUUGUAACUUUAAGUGCAGUUUGCAUGCAAGACCAGUAUACCCAAAAACCUUGAAAAAAUGGUGCAGCAACUCUGAAUAUACCUUCAAACCAUUGAACUGUACACUUUAAAUGGGUAAACUAUAUGAUAUAUGAAUUAUUCUCAAUAAAACAAAAAACUAGCACAGUAAACAUUCAUGCUCAGCCUAGACAAUGUGGUGAAACCCUAUCUCUACAAAAUAUACAAAAAUUAGCUGGGCAUGAUGGCGCAUGCCUAUAGUCCAAGCUACUUAGGAGGCUGAGGUGGGAGGAUCACCUGAGCCCAGGGAGGUCAAGGCUGCAGUGAGCUGUCAUCAAGCUACUGCAAUCCAGCCUGGGCAACAGAGUGAGACCCUGUCUCAAAAAAGAAAAAAAAAAAACAUGCUAUUACGGUUUAUAUACAAACUGUUUACUUCUGAGUUAAAUUUUUAAGGGGGCUAGACUUAGCAGAAAGGGAGACAUUGAGACAAGAAUCAGUGUAAACGCUGAGUGGUAGGUGGGGUUGAAAUAUAUCAUGCCCACGGAGAAAGAUUUAAGACCUACAAAAUGACAGGGAGCCAAGGCUACAUUUAGGAUUCAGAGGGUAGAGAAGCCAGUGAAAAACAGAAAACCAAAAAAGACAGAGCAAAAGAGCAAAUGACAGAGCAAAAGAGCAAAUAGAUAAUGACUAAAGACUAACUUGGAUAUUUGCUUUGCUAUCAUAAAGUAAAGGGUUUUAUUCAGUUCCAAAUUUCAGAAAAAAACAAAUAGCUCCACACUUUUCAACUACUGUUAGGAGUAAUAUUCUAAACUCAAAAGUAACUUAAAUCCAUUUUAUCCUAUCUUACCUCACUUUGUGAAAGAGAAACCUUAUAACAAACCACAAUUCUUUUGUUUUUACAAAGGAAAAAAUUAGAAAACAUAAGUUACUUUUCUAGUAGAAAAAGGAAAUAACGAAUACUGAAAUGUGGGAAAUAUGAACGGUAAUGAAUAUAUUUUAAGGUAAAUAUCCAAGGUAUUAUUUGGUCAAUCAGAAACUUAGAAUCUGAAUAAUGCCUAAAGUUUCAACGCUAAACAAGGUAAAUGAAUUAUUCUUUAUUUCCAGUAACAAGACAAGAGAAAAUGAGUGCCUGGGUCUACAAUCAGCAACUGCUGAUUCUGAACUUAAGUGACUUUUUUUUUUUUUUUUCUGAUAAAGGAUGAAGAAAUUUUGAAUAUAAUCUAACAAACCACAUGAAAAUGUUAAACAAUUUUUCCUUUUCAUAUUCCAUCUGAUCCCAGUCAAGAGUAAAGAGAAUAUGAGUCAAGAGAAAAUAAAAUUAAACAUUAAGCAUUUGCUUCUCUGGGUGGAAUGGCUUAAAGCUUUCCCUCCCAAGGUCUAGGAAACUUGCUUUUUUAAAAAAAAAGUUUUCCUAAGGAUUUUUCUACAUUUUAAUGCAAUUUUAGAAAUUUUUUUAGAUUUCCAACAAAUAUAAGAUAAACCGUUUUGGAAAGUAUGAAUAAUUCCAGAAACAGAGACUUUGUUUCUAGGCCAUGAAACUUAAUUUCCUCUUAAUAUUCACUUACCUACAGCCCAAACUCUCCAUGUAUUUUGCCAGAUAUUACUUAUGAGCUACAAACAGGGCAAUUACUUUUUCUGCUUCAUGAGAUUACUCAUACACACACAAAAAAAGCAUUUUAAGGCUGCUGCUGCUGAUUGCAUCUGAGGCCACAGAAGUUACCCUGCGCCUUCCUCUGAAGACACAAAGCAAACUUUCCUUUCUCCUGAUUCGGGUAAUUUCCACCACAGAACAGCUUUUCCAUAGCAGUAAUAAACUAGUUUGGGAAUCUUUGGAAGCCAAACAACAAUAAAAUACAAAAAAUGUAGAUGGCAUAUGGCUGGUGUUAGUCUGUUUUCCCUUCAAGUUCUUCCCGGUUUUUGAUAGCUUCAUAAGGGCCUAAUUGUUGGCAGCACCAAAAUAAAAGAUUUUUAAACUUUAUACUUACUAAGUGCUUUUUGUCAUUUCCUCACCUCUCUAUACAUUCCUACCUGAUCACCAAAUUAUUAUGGAGAUUUGAACAGUGCUUGGC
rnacentral:lncRNA from 1 species